rnacentral:RNase_P_RNA from 1 species
GAAGCUGACCAGACAGUCGCCGCUUCGUCGUCGUCCUCCUUCGGGGGGAGACGGGCGGAGGGGAGGAAAGUCCGGGCUCCAUAGGGCAAGGUGCCAGGUAACGCCUGGGGGGUGUCACAGCCCACGACCAGUGCAACAGAGAGCAAACCGCCGAUGGCCCGCGCAAGCGGGAUCAGGUAAGGGUGAAAGGGUGCGGUAAGAGCGC